CCAAGCAUCUGUGGUCUGUAUCAUGCUACGUUAAACAGGUGUCCUCACCAAGUUUGGUAUCAGUAUGACCACCAGGUCAUCUAAGGAGGGCUGCACUGGCCCAGGUCAGAAAUGAAGCAGGUCAAAGCCCCUGUGCUGUCCAGUAGUGGGAUAGAGUCUGUGAGAAGACGCUGCAGUGCAGCCUUGG
rnacentral:sRNA from 1 species